AACGUAGGAUCCGAGCGUUGUCCGGAAUCACUGGGUGUAAAGGGUGCGUAGGCGGGCUUGCGCGUCAAGGGUUAAAGACCUCGGCUCAACCGAGGGAAUGCCCUUGAUACGGCAGGUCUUGAGUGGGGGAGAGGAUGGUGGAAUUUCUGGUGUGGCGGUGAAAUUGGUAGAGAUCAGGAGGAACACCGAAGGCGAAGGCAGCCUUCUGGACCGCCACUGACGCUGAGGCACGAAAGCGUGGGGAGCAAACAGG
rnacentral:rRNA from 1 species